AGAGUUUGAUCAUGGCUCAGAUUGAACGCUGGCGGUAGGCUUAACACAUGCAAGUCGAGCGGUAACAGACAUUUUGAUUUUGCUUGCAAAAUCUCGUGCUGACGAGCGGCGAACGGGUGAGUAACGCGUAGGAAUCUACCUAGUAGAAGGGGAUAGCCCGAGGAAACUCGGAUUAAUACCGUAUACGUCCUUAGGGAGAAAGAGGGCUUAGCUUUGAUGCUCUCGCUAUUAGAUGAGCCUGCGUAAGAUUAGCUUGUUGGUGAGGUAAAGGCUCACCAAGGCGACGAUCUUUAGCUGGUCUGAGAGGACGAUCAGCCACAUUGGGACUGAGACACGGCCCAGACUCCUACGGGAGGCAGCAGUGGGGAAUAUUGGACAAUGGGCGCAAGCCUGAUCCAGCCAUACCGCGUGUGUGAAGAAGGCCUUCGGGUUGUAAAGCACUUUAAGCAGGGAGAAAAAGUUAUAAGUUAAUACCUUAUAACCGUGAUGUUACCUGCAGAAUAAGCACCGGCUAAUUCCGUGCCAGCAGCCGCGGUAAUACGGAAGGUGCAAGCGUUAAUCGGAAUUACUGGGCGUAAAGCGCGCGUAGGUGGUUUGUUAAGUUGGAUGUGAAAGCCCUGGGCUCAACCUAGGAACUGCAUCCAAAACUAACUCACUAGAGUACGAUAGAGGGAGGUAGAAUUCAUAGUGUAGCGGUGGAAUGCGUAGAUAUUAUGAAGAAUACCAGUGGCGAAGGCGGCCUCCUGGAUCUGUACUGACACUGAGGUGCGAAAGCGUGGGUAGCGAACAGGAUUAGAUACCCUGGUAGUCCACGCCGUAAACGAUGACAACUAGCUGUUGGGAGACAAUGUCUUUCAGUGGCGCAGCUAACGUUUUAAGUUGUCCGCCUGGGGAGUACGGCCGCAAGGCUAAAACUCAAAUGAAUUGACGGGGACCCGCACAAGCGGUGGAGCAUGUGGUUUAA
rnacentral:rRNA from 1 species